AGUGAACGCUGGCGGUAGGCCUAACACAUGCAAGUCGAACGGCAGCACAGUAAGAGCUUGCUCUUACGGGUGGCGAGUGGCGGACGGGUGAGGAAUACAUCGGAAUCUACUUUUUCGUGGGGGAUACGUAGGGAAACUUACGCUAAUACCGCAUACGACCUACGGGUGAAAGCAGGGGAUCUUCGGACCUUGCGCGAUUGAAUGAGCCGAUGUCGGAUUAGCUAGUUGGCGGGGUAAAGGCCCACCAAGGCGACGAUCCGUAGCUGGUCUGAGAGGAUGAUCAGCCACACUGGAACUGAGACACGGUCCAGACUCCUACGGGAGGCAGCAGUGGGGAAUAUUGGACAAUGGGCGCAAGCCUGAUCCAGCCAUACCGCGUGGGUGAAGAAGGCCUUCGGGUUGUAAAGCCCUUUUGUUGGGAAAGAAAAGCAGCAGGUUAAUACCCCGCUGUUCUGACGGUACCCAAGGAAUAAGCACCGGCUAACUUCGUG
rnacentral:rRNA from 1 species